UUUCCAUUCUUUUAUCUAUUCAUUGUGUGUCACAUUAUUCAUGCAUCUUUGCAGUGACAGAAGAAAUAGUCCUGAGCUUCAGUUCUGAUCCAAACAUGUUUGUUCCAAAAAGUAAGUAAAGCUUGAGGGUCUUUUUUUUUGUCAAAGCCACACAUGCUUUCUUUUUUUUAGUAGUUAUUCUAUCUGAAAGGGGCAUUGCAUAACCUCUUAAUUUCACUAGAUUUGACUAAAAGCAAAUUUUUCAACCGUGGUUGCUGUGGUCAAGGACUGUGCAGUCUGGGGCUGUAAAAGCUUUGCAGUCGUACAGAGUUGCAGUAAAUUGAAACACUGGACCUUGAAACAAACACUUAAAACAAGUUAUUAACUAGUUCAGCAACCUCAGGGGUUAAAAUUUGAAAGACAACUUAAAUGAUUGCUGGGUGAAUCAAUCAGCCAGCCUCACAAGAGGCAGAAAAAAAGACCUCUUUUUCCUCUGCUUUUAACUGUCAUCUUCCAAGUCCGUCAGGACCUACACCAGGACUAUCUAUAAAUCUCCAAGAGACCUACAAGAUCUACUGCAGGAUCAACCCGCAUACUCAACUCCUACAGCCACCAUCUUGGAGUUUUUAUCUAAAGAAGGACAAGUCAUACCUGCAAACAAGCCACCAUCUUGGAGCUUUAUCUUCAUUGGGACAAGUCUCAUCCACAAAUAAUGUAAGGCUUCAAAUUAUGUUGCAUAUUAUAUUCUGUUAAAAAAUUUCUAAAUUUUGUCCACAGCUCCAUAGGGAUUGCUGGAGGAGGCAGGAUAUAUGACCUAUUCUGCAGCCAGUCACCAUAGGGUGCUGUUCUCGAGGUGGCUUGACCCAUUAAGGAGGCAGCCACAUCCAUUCUACAUACAGUCUAUGGUAUUAGACAUGUUCAAUAUUUACAACCAGAAAUCAUUAUGAGUGGGAGGAUCCCUGGGAACAGCCAAUCAUGCACUUUAUCUAUUGUCAUGUGAAACAACCCAAUAGCCAAACAGAAGAUAAGCUGCACAACAAAUGCAACCAUGGCAACAAUAGGAGAUGAAAUGCAUAAACUGAGAAUCAGCUGUUGAUAUAUGACAAUCCAUCAUAUAUCUAUGAAAACUUGAGUGUUUACAUGAGUGUUAAGUGAAACACACCUUAACUGAAAUGACAAGUGGAGUAGUUAGAAACAAAUUAAUACUUCAGUGGAGGUCCCAGUAAUAGUGAAAUACUUUAGUUUACCUUGUUUCCUCCUCUAAAAUCACAUUUGACCGCAAAAAAACUGAAGGAGAUUUCCAGUUUUGAGAGCUGGGUGACUCUCAUAACUCUGGUUGCUGAUAAAAAAGAGUGAUUAUGUUUGCAAUGAACUGUGUUUAUCGUAUAGUUGCGCACCACACACUACCAGGACAAAAUGAUCAAAUCCGUCAUCAUUUUUGGGGUCUCUGACGUUUUAACAAUCAGUUCAAUUUUAAAAAUCUUUUAGUGUGUGCCAGGCUCUAGACUUGCAAAAUCAAGUUAUGCCCAUCUCUAUCCAAAUUGCAUCACUGGCGCCCACAGAGUCAGCUGGUCCAUAAUGAGUGAAAAUGGAGGUGCAUAAAAAGUCUAAUUAAAAUAAACUUUAUUUCUUGUGUUCCUGCUGUCUAAGCCCAGAGACAUGACAGUAUUAAGCUUUUAUUUAAACCCUCAAAGAGUGAGUAGAGUUCAAUGGACUGUAAUUCUCUAUGUUUCUUUCCCAACUGUUUUCCAAAACAGCCUUGUUGCUUCCAGCAUUAAGACAAACUGGCAGUGAUCUCACACAGUCGUUUAGAUCAGCUCACAGGAAGUGUAGUGAGCUAGCGUGAUGGCUCUGCAAUGCCAGGAUUUUGUUUUUCUAUCCGCCUUUGCAUAUUUUUCCUCUUUCCAAAUCAUUUAGGAGCCCAAAUAGAGGCAGGAGACGGUGGAGGAGGCAGAGAUGUCAGUGACAGCUCUGCGAUGGAAAAAGCUCCUGUGGCGUAAACAUGCCAGAGAGCCGCUCUGUCAACAUGCUGGACGGGCGACAGGAAACUUCUAUUCUGAAGAAGAUGACUCGUGCUGCCCAGGGGGGCCUCCACAGACGGUGUAGUAGAGACUAGUGAGACUCUCUGAAUCAGCAGUGUGACAUCACAUUGACAUCACAGCCUGAUGACAGGUCUCAUGAAACUGCGCCCCAUGAGAUCACACAGACAUCUAGACUGUCAGCAGGAGCAAUGGGACAACUCUCUCAACUUUAAAAC